GUAAGGGAAUCUUCCACAAUGGGCGCAAGCCUGAUGGAGCAACACCGCGUGAGUGAAGAAGGGUUUCGGCUCGUAAAGCUCUGUUGUUAAAGAAGAACACGUAUGAGAGUAACUGUUCAUACGUUGACGGUAUUUAACCAGAAAGUCACGGCUAACUACGUGUCAG
rnacentral:rRNA from 1 species